AACUUUGCGCAGUGGCGUUAUAUAGCCAAAAAGGUUUAUCCGAGUUUUUGUUAUUGCUAGUUGAAAACUAUACCCUAUACCCCGCGCCAACGCCCUGAAACAUGGGCGACGAGCGCAAUUUAGGAACUUUCCUACGGGAA